GGGGAAGAAGGUUGUUAGGUUAAUACCUAGGCGACUGGACGUUACCCANAGAANAAGCACCGGCUAACUCCGUGCCANCAGCCGCGGUAAUACGUACGGUGCUAGCGUUAAUCNGAAUUACUGGGCGUAAAGGGUGCGUAGGCGGUUAANUAAGUUAGAUGUGAAAUCCCCGGGCUCAACCUGGGCANUUCAUAUNAUACUGCUUGGCUCNAGUACGGGAGAGGGGAAUGGAAUUUCNGGUGUAGCAGUGAAAUGCGUAGANAUCGGAAGGAACACCNNUGGCGAANGCAGUUACCUGGCCUUGUACUGACACUGAGGCACGAAAGCGUGGGGAGCAAACAGGAUUACAUACCCUGGUAGUCCACGCUGUAAACAAUGUCAACUAGCUGUUGGUUAU
rnacentral:rRNA from 1 species